rnacentral:lncRNA from 1 species
CACCAGCCCCGUCCCUCACGGCCCGGCCACGAAAAUGGCGGCAGCGCGGGGCAGGGGCCCGCGGGCUGCGGCAAGUGAUGUGUCCCUGCCACAGGCGGGAAGCCGCUUCAUCUGGUUUGGGGUGACCUGUCCCAGAGCCGAUGACGAACCGGGGGAGUUGCAAAAACCCGUGGAGGGGAUUCAGGGAGAGUCUGGAUUUACACCCCGUUAAGGACGUUCGUCGGUGUGUUCGUCGGUGACUCCCCUCUGGCAGAGCUCAUUGAGAGAGUUUUAAAUGAGAUUGGAACCAGGGAGGGAAUAAGCCGGGGACGGAAUAAGGCAGGCUCACUUGGGAUAAGUCUGGGGGCAACCCGCCGAUAUUAAAGGGAGGGUAGCAGAGGGAAGAAGUGCUGUCUUCAAACGUCAUGAACCUGGAGCAAAACUAGUGGGAAAAGCAAGUUUCUCACCGGAAUGCUGGGAGACAAAAAGAGGACCAAGGAAAGGCACUUGCACUUAGCUCUUUUAUGCAGCCUUCAUAGCGAGGCUUAUGAUAGCAAUUUCUGUAAGCAAGACCCAAGUGCCUCUGCACUCCCAUGCACAGUGCUGCCUCCCAAAACAGAUCCACCCUUCUCCACUUCUGCUCCUUCCACACCAGUGCAGAACGAGGAAAUUCAACAGCGGGCAGACUCAGGACUUCACGGGCAAUGGGAGUUUUUUGGGGAGGCCUAGCAGAGGGAAGGGGCCGGUGGGGACGUGAGGUCACAGAACCCCAUUUGAUGUGCGGUCACAGAGCCCCACUGUGAUCUGCUGUUCAGUGCCAGCUCUGGACACCUCUGAGGCAGCAGCAGCAGCAGCAUGUUGCGAGCACUGGGGGUCGUGGUCCUCACCCGCUGCCUCCUCCUCUUUCUGGUGGCCCUGCAAGCCCAGGAUGCCCAGUCUGCUCCAAUGCAAGGGCAGGGAGCAGAUGUGGCCAAAGGAAGGCAUCUUCCAGCUCCUGAGCCAGAUUCCAUGUUGAUUCCAAGCUGGUAUCUAAAGAGGAAGAAUUCCCACGAGUUCCCUGAAGAAUUCUCUGAAGCACACCCCGAAAUUCCUGAGGAGAUCCAGACAGACUUGGAAGAAGCUCCAUCUGGUUAGCAAUAUAACCCACUCUGUCAACUGUAGAACCACACAAGCUGAGUUUCUUGGUUCUUGUAGGGAUGUGCUGUACCCUACAGAGCAGGAAGUGAUCAGUCAUAUCCUCACUGCAAGGACACUCCAUUUCACACCUUGCAUGGGCUGCUGAGC